AUGCAGUCGAGGGGUACAGGGAGUGCUUGCACUCUGCUGACGACCGGCGCACGGGCUGCGUAACGCGUAUGCAAUCUACCUCUUACUGAGGGAUAGCCCAUGGAAACGUGUAUUAAUACCUCAUAGUAUUAUAAACUGGCCUCAGUUUAUGAUUAAAGGUUACGGUAAGAGAUGAGCAUGCGUCCUAUUAGCUAGAUGGUAAGGUAACGGCUUACCAUGGCUACGAUAGGUAGGGGUCCUGAGAGGGAGAUCCCCCACACUGGUACUGAGACACGGACCAGACUCCUACGGGAGGCAGCAGUGAGGAAUAUUGGACAAUGGGCGAGAGCCUGAUCCAGCCAUGCCGCGUGCAGGAAGACGGCCCUAUGGGUUGUAAACUGCUUUUACAGAGGAAGAACCCUCCUUACGUGUAAGGAGCUGACGGUACUCUAUGAAUAAGGAUCGGCUAACUCCGUGCCAGCAGCCGCGGUAAUACAGAGGAUCCAAGCGUUAUCCGGAAUCAUUGGGUUUAAAGGGUCCGUAUGCGGGUCUAUAAGUCAGUGGUGAAAGUCUGCAGCUUAACUGUACAACUGCCAUUGAUACUGUAGACCUUGAAUUAGUAUGAAGUGGUUAGAAUGUGUAGUGUAGCGGUGAAAUGCAUAGAUAUUACACAAAAUACCGAUUGCGAAGGCAGAUCACUAAUACUAUAUUGACGCUGAUGGACGA
rnacentral:rRNA from 1 species